rnacentral:lncRNA from 1 species
CACUAAGUUGCUUAGGGCCUUGCUAGGUUACUAAAGUUGGCCUUGAAUUUGCAACCCCCCUGCCUCAGCCUCCCAAAUUGCUGGGAUUACAGGUGUGCACCACCAUGACCCAUAAUGUCUUUGAUGCACAAUUUUAAAAAGUUUUUUUUUUAAUCGAGUCCAAUUUGUUUUUCCUUUGAUCAUUGGUUUUCUCCUUCUUAAAAAAAAAAAAAAACUUAAUUUUUCAAAUUUAGCAAGUGAUGAACAAAUUAAUUCCUUUGUUUUUAGUAUUUUCUGCCCCAGGCACAGAGGGUAGAUGACACUUCUUGGCCCCUGAUUGAUCUCAGCUUUGAUCUAUGGAAGGCCCUUCCUUUAUUUUGUAAAGAAGUAGCUGCUGUAGCCUAAGGGCAGACCAAAGGGCUGCUACCUCUGAGGUACAGUUUCCAGUUUCUCCAGGGCAGGAACCCGGAUGGCCAAGACUGGGACACAGGCCACAGGGUAGCCAUGAAACUGAGUUUAUAGAUCGACACAAAACCCUGAGGUGUGACGCUAUGGAACUAGGUCUCCAGACAGCCUUUAUAUCAGGAUUGACUUGAUCAGGUACAUGGCUUCCGAUACUCAAUCCUGUGGCAUGGUUAGAAAACAAGACAGGAGGCUGACCGACGCUGUUGGGUGCAUGUGGCCGGGAAAACCCUAAAUCUGGCAAACACAGGGGGAGAUCAACUACACCAACAAGAAGUGGGCUGUUGAGGAUGUUGAAUAUCCUGCAGAAGGGAUGCUGUCCCUCCAGUGCUCAAUGCAGAUGAUUCCGCCAUGGACUCCCAACAGUCUAAGAACACAAAGGACUGGUAGACCUUCACAAGGCCAGAAUGGUGGGGCUCUACCCUGCUACAGGGGAGGCCAAGAUCAAAGCCAAUGCACAAGGGCCAGGGCCAAAGGGAGGAGAGAGGCUCAGUCUGGAGUUUGUCAUUGAAAUUCUGCAGGUAGAGGUGCCUGAAGUUAGAACUACUCAUGGACCAAGGCCUGGCUCCAUCAAAGUGAAAAUGUGGGUCUCAUUGAAAAGCAGGAGCAAAGCGCCCGCCAUUCAAGGUGUUAGCAUGUAAUGCCUCGCUCUCUCCUGUGUGUCUCUGGACUUCCCAUGGUAUUUUUUUAUUUGC